UGGGGAAUUUUGGACAAUGGGCGAAAGCCUGAUCCAGCAAUGCCGCGUGUGUGAAGAAGGCCUUCGGGUUGUAAAGCACUUUUGUCCGGAAAGAAAUCCUUGGCUCUAAUACAGUCGGGGGAUGACGGUACCGGAAGAAUAAGCACCGGCUAACUACGUGCCAGCAGCCGCGGUAAUACGUAGGGUGCAAGCGUUAAUCGGAAUUACUGGGCGUAAAGCGUGCGCAGGCGGUUUGCUAAGACCGAUGUGAAAUCCCCGGGCUCAACCUGGGAACUGCAUUGGUGACUGGCAGGCUAGAGUAUGGCAGAGGGGGGUAGAUUCCACGUGUAGCAGUGAAAUGCGUAGAGAUGUGGAGGAAUACCGAUGGCGAAGGCAGCCCCCUGGGCCAAUACUGACGCUCAUGCACGAAAGCGUGGGGGAGCAAACAGGAUUAGAUACCCCUGGGUAGUCCACGCCCUAAACGAUGUCAACUAGUUGUUGGGGGAUUCAUUUCCUUAGUAACGUAGCUAACGCGUGAAGUUGACCGCCUGGGGGAGUACGGUCGCAAGAUUAAAACUCAAAGGAAUUGAC
rnacentral:rRNA from 1 species